GAUGAACGCUGGCGGCGUGCCUAAUACAUGCAAGUCGAGCGAAUGGAUUAAGAGCUUGCUCUUAUGAAGCUAGCGGCGGACGGGUGAGUAACACGUGGGUAACCUGCCCAUAAGACUGGGAUAACUCCGGGAAACCGGGGCUAAUACCGGAUAACAUUUUGAACCGCAUGGUUCGAAAUUGAAAGGCGGCUUCGGCUGUCACUUAUGGAUGGACCCGCGUCGCAUUAGCUAGUUGGUGAGGUAACGGCUCACCAAGGCAACGAUGCGUAGCCGACCGGAGAGGGUGACCGGCCAAACUGGGACUGAGACACGGCCCAGACUCCUACGGGAGGCAGCAGUAGGGAAUCUUCCGCAAUGGACGAAAGUCUGACGGAGCAACGCCGCGUGAGUGAUGAAGGCUUUCGGGUCGUAAAACUCUGUUGUUAGGGAAGAACAAGUGCUAGUUGAAUAAGCUGGCACCUUGACGGUACCUAACCAGAAAGCCACGGCUAACUACGUGCCAGCCGCCGCCGCGG
rnacentral:rRNA from 1 species